GUGACUGAAGCGCCCGCAGGUGCCUGUGCCUGUGUAUCCCGACAAUAAACCAAAUCCUCUUGCUGAUUGCAUCCUGUGGUGUCUCGGUCUGGUCUUUGGAGUUAGAGGGUCUCCAUCCCGAGGGAAAGUUCUCCCUGAGAGCUUUUCAUUUGGUGCAUUGGCCGGGAAAGGAGAUCCUCCACCCAGGGACCACCGACCACCCACUGGGAGGUAAGCCGGCCGGCGUCUGUCUGUCUGUCUGAUUUUGUCUCGUUCUGUCUUAUUCUGUCUGUUCUGUGAGCGCUCAGCCAGGUCUGUUCUGUGAGCGCUCAGCCAGGUCUGUUCUGUGAGCGCUCAGCCAGGUUCUGUGAGCGCUCAGCCAGGUUGUUUGGAAUUUGGGCGGGACGAAGAAGGAGCUGACGAGCUCGGACUUCUCGCCCCGCAGCCCUGGAAGACGUUCCAAGGGUGUUGGGGCCCGACUUUUCGGGGCCCAAUCUGGGAGAGGAGAAAGAUCCGGACUAACGGCACUCUGUCUGUAUUUUUGGCUUUCAGAGGGCCCCGGACCUUUGCCACCUCCAUCUGACUUUUUGCUUUCAGUUUGGUACCAAAGCCGUGCAGCACGCCUGUCUGUUGUUUGUUUGACUGUUGGUGUUGUUUGUUUUCUCUGUGUUCUAAUCUUCCUUAGAACUAACAUGGGACAGUCCCUAACAAUGCCCCUAAGUCUCACUCUUGAUCAUUAGAAAGACGUCCACGACCGGGCACACAACCAGUCCGUCGAGGUUAAAAAAGGAAAAUGACAGACUCUCUACACAUCCGAGUGGCCCACUUUCGGAGCGGGAUGGCCAGUGAAUGGCACAUUUAAUAAGAUCAUUAUUUUACAGGUUAAAGAUCG
ensembl:lncRNA